rnacentral:rRNA from 1 species
UACAGGGGGUGCAAACGUUGCUCGGAAUUAUUGGGCGUAAAGCGCGCGUAGGCGGCUACUUAAGUCGGAUGUGAAAGCCCUUGGCUCAACUGAGGAAGUGCACCCGAAACUGAGUGGCUUGAGUACUAAAGAGGGUCGCGGAAUUCCCGGUGUAGAGGUGAAAUUCGUAGAUAUUCGGAAGAGCACCAGUGGCGAAGGCGGCUCACUGGACUGGUAUUGACGCUGAGGUGCGAAAGCGUGGGGAGCAAACAGG